AGCAGCCGCGGUAAUUCCAGCUCCAAUAGCGUAUAUUAAAGUUGUUGCAGUUAAAAAGCUCGUAGUUGAAUUUCGGGGUUAGUAGGUUGGUCAUGUCUCUGGUAUGUACUGGUCUCACUGAUUCCUCCUUCCUGAUGAGCCGUAAUGCCAUUAAUUUGGUGUUGCGGGGAAUUUGGACUGUUACUUUGAAAAAAUUAGAGUGUUUAAAGCAAGCUAACGCUUGAAUACAUUAGCAUGGAAUAAUGAAAUAGGACGUUCGAUCCUAUUUUGUUGGUUUCUAGGAUUGACGUAAUGAUUAAUAGGGAUAGUUGGGGGCAUUAGUAUUCAAUUGUCAGAGGUGAAAUUCUUGGAUUUAUUGAAGACUAACUACUGCGAAAGCAUUUGCCAAGGAUGUUUUCAUUAAUCAAGAACGAAAGUUAGGGGAUCGAAGACGAUCAGAUACCGUCGUAGUCUUAACCAUAAACUAUGCCGACUAGGGAUCGGAUGAUGUUAAUUUUUUAAUGACUCA
rnacentral:rRNA from 1 species